rnacentral:lncRNA from 1 species
UUCGGUUUACAGGGCAAGGUGACCGGUUCCAAGAGAAAGGAGAAAGGGAGGGCUGCCGUAUGUGAGAGGGUUCCUGUGUUUGGCUGAGGGAGAUCAAAAAAAUUUGUGGCUGAGACUUUUUGUUUCAAAGGGAGAGCCCCCCCCCCCCCAAGAGAGAGACUGUCAGACCCGUUUGUGAGGGGAAAGAGACCAAAAUUAAAGAGCAAAGGGGCUGUCUUUUUUGCAUAGGGCCAGGGAGUGUGGGAGCUGAGGGGGAGCGUCUCUGGUCGGCUAGAAACAAGGAAAAGAAGACCUGGGUGGGGCUGAGUUGCUGAUUUUCAGCUGGAAAAAAUAAUGGCCUUGGACAGGGGGGGCCGGCGGCUGUUUGAAAAAAAGUGGGGGGGAGAAGAUAGGUUUAGGUUUUUUUUUAUUUUUUUUAUUUUUUUUUGGUGUUUCCAAAAUUAUCUCCCUUGCAAAAAU